rnacentral:rRNA from 1 species
CACGCAGGCGGUCUGUCAAGUCGGAUGUGAAAUCCCCGGGCUCAACCUGGGAACUGCAUUCGAAACUGGCAGGCUAGAGUCUUGUAGAGGGGGGUAGAAUUCCAGGGGUAGCGGUGAAAUGCGUAGAGAUCUGGAGGAAUACCGGUGGCGAAGGCGGCCCCCUGGACAAAGACUGACGCUCAGGUGCGAAAGCGUGGGGAGCAAACAGGAUUAGAUACCCUGGUAGUCCACGCCGUAAACGAUGUCGAUUUGGAGGUUGUGCCCUUGAGGCGUGGCUUCCGGAGCUAACGCGUUAAAUCGACCGCCUGGGGAGUACGGCCGCAAGGUUAAAACUCAAAUGAAUUGACGGGGGCCCGCACAAGCGGUGGAGCAUGUGGUUUAAUUCGAUGCAACGCGAAGAACCUUACCUGGUCUUGACAUCCACAGAACUUUCCAGAGAUGGAUUGGUGCCUUCGGGAACUGUGAGACAGGUGCUGCAUGGCUGUCGUCAGCUCGUGUUGUGAAAUGUUGGGUUAAGUCCCGCAACGAGCGCAACCCUUAUCC